AACAUCGCGCACCUGCGGGAACCUGCGGAAGGAUCAUUACAGAGUUAUCCAACUCCCAAACCCAUGUGAACUUAUCUCUUUGUUGCCUCGGCGCAAGCUACCCGGGACCCCGCGCCCCGGGCGGCCCGCCGGCGGACAAACCAAAACUCUUGUUAUCUUAGUUGAUUCUCUGAGCGUCUUAUUUAAUAAGUCAAAACUUUUAACAAUGGAUCU
rnacentral:misc_RNA from 1 species